rnacentral:tRNA from 1 species
AGCCAUAUGUAUCUAGUGGCUAGGAUAUCUGGCUUUCACCCAGAAGGCCCGGGUUCGAUUCCCGGNAAGUUUU